rnacentral:lncRNA from 1 species
UCACAUUCGAACUCAAACCGAAUCAAGUUCACAUACAAACCAAAUCCAAAUCAAGUUCACAUACAAACCAAAUCCAAAUCAAGUUCACAUACAAAUCCAAAUCCGAAUCAAGUUCACAUUCGAACCCAAACAGAAUCAAGUUCACAUUCGAAUCCAAACCAAACCAAGUCCACAAAUAAACCCACAAAUAAACCCAAACUUGAACCCAAAUAAACCCAAACCCAAUCCAAAUCAAGUCCACAAAUAAACCCAAACUUGAACCCAAAUAAAUCCAAACCCAAACCAAAUAAAGUCCACAAAUAAAGCCCAAAACCAAAACCCAAAUAAAAUCCGAACCCAAAUCCAAACCCAUCCAAGCCCAAAACCAAAUACAGCCGACAAAUAAACCUAAACCCAAAACCCAAAUAAACCCAAACCCAAAACCCAAAUCAAACCCGAACCCAAACCCAAAUCAAGUCCACAUCCAAACCUAACCUAAACCAAGUCCACAAAUAGAACCCAAACCCAUUCCACAAAUAGAAUCCAAAUCCAACCCAAACCAAGUCUAUAAAUAAAACCAAAAUCCAAACCGAAACCCGAAUCCAAAUCCAAACCCAAAACCCAAAUCCAACUUCCAACUUAGACUUAUGAAUCUAAACCACAUCCAAGUUCAUGAACCAAAUCCCAUACACCAAACCUCAUAAACUAAACUCAUAAACCAUACACCAAGUUCAUGACUCCAAUCUCAUGAACCAUGUACCAAGUUCAUGAAUCAUAACCAAACCUCAUGAACCGUACACCAAGUUCAUGAAUCAUAAACCAAACCCCAUGAACCAUACACCAAGUUCAUGAAUCAUAAACCAAACCCCAUAAACCAUACACCAAAUUCAUGAACCAUGAACUAAAUCCAUAAACCAAGUCCAUAAACCUCAUGAACUAUAAACCAAGUUCAUGAACCAUGAAUCAUGAACCAAAUUCAUAAACCUCAUCCAUGAACCAUAUCCAAGUUCAUGAACCAUACACCAUGAACCAUAAAUCAUACACCAUAAACCAUAAACCAAGAUCAUAUAACCAACCUCAUGAACCAUAAACCAAGUUCAUGAACCAUACCUUAUGAACCCAUGAACCAUACACCAAGUUCAUAAACCUCAUCCAUGAACCAUAUCCAAGUUCAUGAACCAAAUCCCAUACACCAAACCUCAUGAACCAUAAACCACAACCCAAGCCCAUGGAUCAAAUCCCAUAGACCAUAUACCCAACCUCAUGAACCAUAUCCAAAUCUCAUGAACCAAAUCCAUAAACCAAAACUCACGAACCAAUGAACCAUGUAUCAAGCUCAUACCAAGUUUAUCAU